AUCUAAGAGAUUUGGCGGUACUUAUUACAUUUUAGAGAAACUUGUUUUAGUAAAUCGAUAAUCCCCGAAAUAUCUUACCUUUGUAAAUUAAUUAGUUUGUAUACCUUCAUGUAUAUAAUUUUUAUAAAAUAGAAAUUAUUUAAAUAAUUUAUUUAAGAUAAUAUAUUAGAUCAAGGUGCAGCUUAUGGAAAGGGUAGAAUGAGUUAUAAUAUAUUAUUAUGUGUAUGGAUAAAAUUAGUUGAAAAAAUUUUUGAAAGAGGAUUUAAUUGUAAUUAAAUUUUAAUAAGUUAUAGUGAUAGUAGUUCUGGAGUAUGU
rnacentral:rRNA from 1 species